rnacentral:rRNA from 1 species
GAUGAACGCUGGCGGCGUGCCUAAUACAUGCAAGUCGAGCGAACAGACGAGGAGCUUGCUCCUUUGACGUUAGCGGCGGACGGGUGAGUAACACGUAGGUAACCUACCUAUAAGACUGGGAUAACUUCGGGAAACCGGAGCUAAUACCGGAUAAUAUUUCGAACCGCAUGGUUCGAUAGUGAAAGAUGGCUUUGCUAUCACUUAUAGAUGGACCUGCGCCGUAUUAGCUAGUUGGUAAGGUAACGGCUUACCAAGGCAACGAUACGUAGCCGACCUGAGAGGGUGAUCGGCCACACUGGAACUGAGACACGGUCCAGACUCCUACGGGAGGCAGCAGUAGGGAAUCUUCCGCAAUGGGCGAAAGCCUGACGGAGCAACGCCGCGUGAGUGAUGAAGGUCUUCGGAUCGUAAAACUCUGUUAUUAGGGAAGAACAAACGUGUAAGUAACUGUGCACGUCUUGACGGUACCUAAUCAGAAAGCCACGACUAACUACGUG